rnacentral:rRNA from 1 species
UACAGAGGGUGCGAGCGUUAAUCGGAAUUACUGGGCGUAAAGCGCGCGUAGGCGGCUUUGCAAGUCGGGUGUGAAAUCCCCAGGCUUAACCUGGGAACUGCAUUCGAGACUGCAUUGCUAGAGUAUGGGAGAGGGAAGUGGAAUUUCCGGUGUAGCGGUGAAAUGCGUAGAUAUCGGAAGGAACAUCAGUGGCGAAAGCGGCUUGCCAGAACGCGCUCGACGGUGAGGGAUGAAAGCUGGGGGAGCAAACCGG